UACGGAGGGAGCUAGCGUUAUUCGGAAUUAUUGGGCGUAAAGGGCGCGUAGGCGGCCAUUCAAGUGACGGGUGAAAGCCCUCGGCUUAACCGAGGAACUGCCUGUCAGACUGGAUGGCUUGAGACCGGGAGAGGUGAGUGGAAUUCCCAGUGUAGCGGUGAAAUGCGUAGAUAUUGGGAGGAACACCAGUGGCGAAGGCGGCUCACUGGCCCGAUACUGACGCUGAGGCACGAAAGCGUGGGGAGCAAACAGGG
rnacentral:rRNA from 1 species